CCGCGGCCGAGCCGGGAGCCGAGCGCGCUGGGCGCGGCUGUCCCGCUGCCUCCGCCUCCGAGCCCUGAGUGCGCCCGCGGCCAUGGUCCCCGCGGCGGCGCCGGGCGCUUGAGCCCCGGAACGCGAGCCCUGGAGGCAGGCGGCCGGCGGUGCGGGCGCAACGGAGAGGCCGCCAGAAGGUGAGCGCCGUGGGCUAUGGGAUGGAUGAGGUGGAGCAGGACCAGCAUGAGGCCCGACUCAAGGAGCUGUUUGACAGUUUUGACACCACGGGCACUGGGUCCCUGGGACAGGAGGAACUCACCGACCUUUGCCACAUGCUGAGCUUGGAGGAGGUGGCCCCGGUGCUCCAGGAGACGCUGCUUCAGGAUAACCUCUUGGGCAGGGUGCAUUUUGACCAAUUUAAAGAAGCAUUAAUACUUAUCUUGUCUAGAACUCUGUCAAAUGAAGAGCACUUUCAAGAACCAGACUGCUCACUAGAAGCUCAGCCCAAAUAUGUUAAAGGUGGCAAGCGUUAUGGACGAAGGUCCUUGCCUGAGUUUCAAGAAUCCGUGGAAGAGUUUGCCGAGAUUGAGCCCCUAGAGGAAGAAGCUCGGCCCUCACACAGCCCAGCCGGUGACCGCCACCAGCACUGGAAGACACAACGCAGUGAGGAGUAUGAAGCAGAAGGUCAGUUAAGAUUUUGGAACCCAGACGACUUGAAUGCCUCACAGGGUGGGUCUUCCGCUCCCCAAGACUGGAUAGAAGAGAAACUGCAGGAGGUUUGUGAAGACUUGGGGAUCACCCGUGAUGGUCACCUGAACCGAAAGAAGCUGGUCUCCAUCUGUGAGCAGUAUGGUCUGCAGAAUGUUGAUGGAGAGAUGCUUGAAGAAGUCUUCCAUAAUCUUGAUCCUGACGGUACAAUGAGUGUAGAAGAUUUUUUCUAUGGCUUGUUCAAAAAUGGAAAAUCCCUCACACCAUCAGCAUCUACUCCCUAUAGACAGUUGAAAAGGCACCUCUCCAUGCAGUCCUUCGAUGAGAGUGGCCGACGCACCACAACCCCAUCAGUGAUGACGAGUACCAUUGGCUUUCGGGUCUUCUCCUGCCUGGAUGACGGGAUGGGCUACGCAUCCGUGGAGAAAAUACUUGACUCCUGGCAGGAAGAGGGCAUUGAGAACAGCCAGGAGAUCCUGAAGGCCUUGGAUUUCAGCCUUGAUGGAAAUGUCAACCUGACAGAAUUGACACUGGCUCUUGAAAAUGAACUUCUGGUCACCAAAAAUGGCAUUCACCAGGCGGCUCUGGCCAGCUUUAAGGCUGAGAUCCGACAUUUGCUGGAGCGGGUUGAUCAAGUGAUCAGAGAAAAAGAGAAGCUACGGUCAGAUCUGGACAAGGCUGAGAAGCUCAAGUCUCUCAUGGCUUCAGAGGUAGAUGAUCACCAUGCGGCCAUAGAGCGACGGAAUGAGUACAACCUCAGGAAACUGGAUGAAGAGUACAAGGAACGGAUAGCGGCCUUAAAGAAUGAACUCCGGAAGGAGAGAGAACAGAUCCUGCAGCAGGUGGGCAAGCAGCGUUUGGAACUUGAGCAGGAAAUCGAAAAGGCAAAAACAGAAGAGAACUACAUCCGGGACCGCCUUGCUCUCUCUUUAAAGGAAAACAGUCGUCUAGAAAAUGAGCUUCUGGAAAGUGCAGAGAAGUUGGCAGAGUAUGAGAAUCUGACAAACAAACUCCAGCGAAAUUUGGAAAACGUGUUAGCAGAAAAGUUUGGUGACCUUGAUCCCAGCAGUGCUGAAUUCUUUCUGCAAGAAGAGAGGCUGACGCAAAUGAGAAAUGAAUAUGAGCAGCAGUGCAGGGUAUUACAAGACCAGGUGGAUGAACUCCAGUCUGAGCUGGAAGAAUUUCGCACACAAGGCAAAGUGUUGAGACCUCCCUUGAAGACCUCACUAUCAGAAGAACUUGGUGUUAACACGGGUUACGUCGAGCCUGACCAGAGGCUUGGUUCUGAAGAAUGCAAUCCAUUGAAUAUGAGCAUCGAGGCGGAGCUGGUCAUUGAACAGAUGAAAGAACAACAUCACAGGGACUUAUGUCACUUGAGACUGGAGCUUGAAGAAAAAGUGGACUGUUAUGAAAAGCAGCUAGAUGAAACCAAGGUGGCCUGUGAAAAGGAGCAAGAGAACAUGAAGCAAAAGUAUGAGAAUGAAGUGCAUGUCUUAGAAAAACAAAUAAGUGACCUUAAAAAUGAAAUUGCAGAACUCCAGAGCCAGGCAGUGGCGCUCAAGGAGGCACAGCAUACAACCAUGUGCAGACACGAGGAUGAGAAAAAAGAACUGCAGAAGAAGUGGGAUGAGGAAAAGACUCACCUGCAGGAGAAGCUGAGGUUGGAACAUGAGUUGGAGCUCAAGGCUAGCCUAGAGCAGGCAGAGGAAAGCUUUAACAGAGAGAGAGAAGGACUCAUGCAAAAUGGCGCCUGGACAGAAGAGAAGGUGAGAGGCUUGACUCAGGAACUAGAGCAGUUUCACCAGGAGCAGUUUAAAAGCCUGAUGGAGAAGCACACUCUUGAGAAAGAGGAGUUGCGAAAAGAGCUCUUGGACAAACACCAAAGGGAACUUCAAGAGGGAAGGGAAAAAAUGGAAACUGAGUGUACUAGAAGAACCUGUCAGAUAGAAGCCCAGUGUCAGGCUGAUUGUCAGAAAGUCACUGAGAGAUGUGAAAAUGCCCUGCGAAGCCUGGAGGGGCACUACCACCAAGAGCUGAAGGAGCUCCUGGAACAGCAGCUUGAGGAGAGAUCCCAGUGGGAGUUUGAGAAGGACGAGCUCACCCAGGAGUGUGCAGAAGCCCAGGAGCAGCUGAAAGAGACUCUCCAAAGAGAGAAAGCCACUUCUCUGGUCCUGACCCAGGAGAGAGAGAUGCUGGAGAAAACCUACAAAGAACAUUUGAAUAGUAUGGUUGUUGAAAGAGAGCAGCUACUCAAAGACCUGGAAGAUCUAAGAAACGUGUCAGAAAGUCAGCAAAGCCUAUUGUCUGACCAGAUUCUUGAGCUGAAGAGCAGUCGUGAAAGGGAGCUGAGGGAUGGUGAGCAGGUCCUGUGCCAGGCAGGUGCCUCGGGGCAUCUGGCCGGCCAGCCUCUGGAGAAGCUAGCAAUGGAACGGGACCGGGAGAAGCAGGAGAUGGUAUCUGGGCUGCAGGCCGUGGAGAGUGUCCACAGAGUGACCUGUGAGAAAGCCGACCAAGAGAGGGCUGAGAUGAGCACAGAAAUCUCCAGGCUUCAGAACAAAAUUAAGGAAAUGCAGCAGGCAUCUCCUCGGUCCAGGAGAGAGAGUGGCUGCCAGGCAGUGGGAGGGGAGGAGGCAGAAGGCAGUGGAGCCAUGUCUCUGCUCCAGCAAGGAAAGCAGCUGUUGGAAGAGAAUGGAGAUGUCCUCUUAAGCCUGCAGAGAGCUCAUGAGCGAGCAGUGAAGGAAAAUGUGAAAAUGGCCACGGAAAUUUCAAGAUUGCAACAGAAGCUGCAAAAAUUAGAGCCGGGGUCAGUAAUGUCUUCUUGUUUCGAUGAGCCAGCUACCGGGUUAUUUGGAAAUUCUGUGGAACAAACAGAGCCCUUUUUGCUGCCAAAUCAAAUGAAACAAGUAGAAGGUGUAAGCGCACGGUGCGUCCUCAGUGACCUGCCGGAUGAUGAGGCCCCAGACCUGGGCAGUCCAGGGACGAGCUCUGCUCAGAGACAGGCGGUCAAAAUGGAGGAGCCUGAAACAUCCAUGGAGAGUUUUUCCGAGCUCGAAAAUAGCGAAGAGACCAGGACUGAGACCUGGGACCUGAAGAACCAGAUUUGUCAGCUUAAGGGACAGCUAGCAAUCCUGCGUGCAGACUGCAGUCGAGCUUCUGAAAAGAAACGGGACCUCCUUUUUGACGUCGCCGUGCUGAAAAAGAAACUGAAGAUGCUUGAGAGAAUCCCCGAGGCUUCCCCCAAGUAUAAACUGCUGUAUGAAGAUGCCAGCAGGGAAAAUGACUGUCUCCAGGAGGAGCUGCGAGUGAUGGAGACGCGCUACGACGAAGCCCUCGAAAGUAACACAGAGCUCACUUCGGAAGUUUUCCAGCUGCAGCACGAGCUAAAGAAAGCGGAAGAGGCAGCGGAAACGUUCCUCAGCCUGGAAAAGAGUUACGGUGAGGUCAGGAGAGAAAACGAGGAGCUGCAUGUUUUGGUUUUGAGACUUGAGGGCGCGCUGGAGAAGCUGCGGGCCAGAGCGGCACUCCAGUGUGACUGCUUCUUAUGGGAAGCGCGCUUGGCUGAGCUGGAAGUCCCGCCUGAUGGGAAGGUGCCUGAACCACAUCAGACGCUGGAAGAGGGUGUGCCCGAGGUGAGGGACGUACACCGUAUUAUAGAAGAACAUUAUCAAGACAACCAGUACCUUGAGCAGGAGAAUACACAGCUUCUGGAAAGAGUACAAGCACAUGAAAUUGCCUGGCUACACAGAAGAGUCCGGACACAUGGAGAAAAGCCCCGAGUACAGAACCAGGUUUUACCGGAGGAAGAAGACACUGCCCUCCUAGGCCUUCAAGACAGACACCUUCCGCGUCAGGCCACGAUAGCAGAGUUAGAACUGGAGAAAAAAAAGCUGCAGGAGCUGACCAGGAAGUUGAGGGAGAGAGUCACUGCUUUAGUUAAGCAAAAAGGUGUACCUUGUCAAGGAGAAAACGAGGAAGAGCUGAAGGCAAUGAUGCACGACUUGCAAAUCACAUGCAGUGAGAUGCAACAAAAAGUUGAACUUCUGAGAUAUGAAUCUGAGAAGCUUCAAGAAGAAAAUUCUAUUUUGAGAAAUGAAAUUACUACUUUAAAUGAAGACGAUAGCAUUUCUAACCUGAAAUUAGGGAAAUUAAAUGGAUCUCAGGAAGAAAUGUGGCAAAAAAUAGAAACUGUAAAACAGGAAAAAGCUGCAGUUCAGAAGAUGGUUGAAAAUUUAAAGAAACAGAUUGCAGAAUUAAAAACCAAAAACCAAGAGUUGGAUUUGGAAAAUACAGAACUUAGCCAAAAGAACUCUCAAAAUGAGAAGGAACUGCAAGAACUUAAUCAACGUCUGGCAGAAAUGCUGGGCCAGAAGGAGGAAGAGCCGGGACCCAGUGCAUUUGAGGAGUGGAAACAAGGAGAGUCUCAUCUGAAAGAAGAACUGGAACAAUGUAGAGUGCAGUCCUCUACUUUAGUGUCUUCUCUGGAGGCAGAACUAUCUGAAGUUAAAAUACAGACUCAUAUUGUGGAACAGGAAAACCUCCUUCUCAAAGAUGAACUGGAGAAAAUGAAACAGCUGCACAGGUGUCCUGAUCUCUCCGACUUCCAGCAAAAACUUUCUAGUGUUCUAAGCUACAAUGAAAAACUGCUCAAAGAAAAGGAAGCUCUGAGUGAAGAAUUAAAUAGCUGUGUGGAUAAGUUGGCAAAAUCAAGUCUCUUAGAGCACAGAAUUGCCACUAUGAAGCAAGAACAGAAGUCUUGGGAACAACAGAGUGAAACCUUAAAGUCCCAACUCGUGGCUUCACAGGAAAAGGUUCAGAGUUUAGAAGACACCCUGCAGAAUGUAAACUUGCAAAUGUCGCUGAUUAAAUCUGACCUACAAGUGACUCAGCAGGAAAAGGAGGCUUUAAAACAAGAAGUGAUGUCUUUGUAUAAACAACUUCAGAAUGCUGGUGACAAGAACUGGGUCCCAGAAAUAGCCACCCAUCCAUCAGGAUUCCCUACGCAGCAGCACUGGCUGACUUGGGACAAGAUGGAUCAUCUGAUAAAGGAGGAACAACAGCUACUUCGGCAGGAGAACGAGAGACUCCAAACCGUGGUGCGGAAUACCAAAGCGGAACUCACGCAUUCCCAGGAGAAGGUCCGUCAGCUGGAAUCCAACCUUCUUCCCCCCAAGCACCAAAAACAUCUGAACCCAUCAGGUACUAUGAAGCCCACAGAGCAAGAGAAGAUGAGCUUAAAGAGAGAGUGUGAACAGUUUCAAAAGGAACGAUCUCCUACUAAUAAGAAGCAGGUCAGUCAGAUGAAUUCCCUUGAAAGAGAAUUAGAAACGAUUCAUUUGGAAAAUGAAGGCCUGAAAAAGAAACAAGUAAAACUGGAUGAGCAGCUAAUGGAGAAGCAGCACCUGAGGUCCACUGUGAUGCUUAGCCCAUCCCCUCAUGCUUGGGAUCUCCAGCUGCGCCAGCAGCAAGCCUGUCCAAUGGUGCCCAGGGAGCAGUUUCUGCAGCUUCAACACCAGCUGCUGCAGGCAGAGAGGACAAACCAGUGCCUGCAGGAGGAACUUGAAAACAGGACCUCCGAAAUCAACACACCGCAGGGAAACCAGGAGCAACUGGUGACCGUCAUGGAAGAACGAAUGAUGGAAGUUGAACAGAAAUUGAAACUGGUGAAAAGCCUUCUUCAGGAUAAAGUGAAUCAGCUCAAAGAACAACUCUACAAGAAUACUAAAGCAGAUGCAAUGGUGAAGGAUUUGUAUGUUGAAAAUGCCCAGUUGUUGAAAGCUCUGGAAAUGACUGAACAGCGACAAAAAACAGCAGAGAAGAAAAAUUACCUCCUAGAAGAGAAGAUUGCCAGCCUCAGUAAUAUAGUCAGGAAUCUGGCACCAGCACCACUGACUUCUACACCUCCCUUGAGGUCAUAGCCAAGCCAAAGGAUACACUCAUAUUUGUGCACUUUACUGAAAUGGAUGGAACAUUUCACAAUUAGGUAAGAAAAAUUCACUCUGAUGUAUUCCUGGAAGGCCAAACCCAUCGAUUUACAAGACCGGUAACAGCAAAAUCACACACCGCUUUAUGGGCAGGGACAAAAGAUUCACGAAAACUGCCUAAGAAGUCAUAUGAUGUUUAAAAAUCUCAACAAAACAAUUUGCAUCAAGCAACUUUCAGGUUCCUCGUGGCCUAACCAUCUGUUGGUCCCACCUGACAAGCUAGGGCCAACACAGAAAUCCUUACUCCAAGAGCUCUGACAAGGUAUGGCCGUUUGUGCGACUGGAAUUCAAACUCAUGAAACCUUUUCAGGUCUGGAUAGCCCUUACUAUCAGAAAGUCCUGAUUUCUCCCUGGAAAAAUAAUUAAUUUUAAUCCUUCCCUGUAAUUACCCUUCAAAACAUGUCACAUCUGCUAUCAUGCCUUCCCUAAUCUUUCAUCCCAAUGCAAACAUUACUAGUCAACCCAACUACUUGUAUGGCAUUGGCUUUAACAGAGAAUCUUUUUCACUUAAAACUGUGGAUAGACCUAGGGAACUAAGGUCAUAAAUAAACUAUGCAUCUGUGGUGUAUUUAUGUGAUAUGCUUCAAGUUACUCAAGGUUAUUACUAUCAAAACUGAACACCAAGCAGAUUUCUCAAAUAACUGGCUUUAGCAUGUGAUCACGUGUUAUAAUUUUUGUUGUUUUUUACAUUACAAAAAGUGUAGAUUAAUUUCUCAUAAAUCUAUAUGUGUAUAUAAAAUGCUGUAUAAUGAAUGUAAAUAUGACUUUCUGGAAAGUUUUAGACUACAUUUAAAAUCCCUUUAUCCAAAAUCAAAAUGCUGCUCAAAUGAUUAAUUAAAUCAACAUCUAGGUGCUUUAUUUCUUGUUUUACUGCACUUAUAAAAGGGAAAAAGAUCAACAUGAGGUUACCUUAAAUUUAUACAUUUGUGCAGCAGUUUAUUUUUGUAGCCUAGAGUGGGAAUUUAACUGGCAAUUUAUAAUAGCAUUUACAGCUUUUAAAAAAUCUUUUAUUAAAGAGAUUAAAUUUGAACUUAAAUGUUUAGGUUUUGCUUUCAGACUUUAUAAUAGCAAUCUUUAAAAUCACUAGUUAUGUAUUCUUUUAUAGGCAUUUAGCUACUUGUUUAUUAAAAGCACUGGUUAAACUUUCUUUGGCUUUCUUAAGAGUUAUUUAAAUUAGUCUGAGAAGAUGGGAUAUUCAUUUCAAGGAGAGUCAAGUUUGCCUUUGUGAUAAUAUGUUACACUAAGACAAAGAAAAUGUGGAUCACAAAACCUGCACUGUUCUAUUUUGCUUUCUUCUGCUUUUUAGAAGCCUGAACUCUUAAGCUCAAAUUGUGAAGGGAGAAAAGUAAAUGGGGUGGGGUAGAACCGAUCACAGUAUUUUAUUUAUUUUUCUAAAACCUGGAUUCUAAAACUAUUUUAAAUGUGAAUCCUUCCCAGAAGCUUCAAAUACAUUGCUUAUAUAUUUAAUCUUGAGCAUAUUUUACAUAAAUAGAUUACAAAAUCAUAAGCUUUCACAACAUAGAAGGAGUCUUACAGGUCUAGUGUUUCAAUAAUGUACAAAUACCCAGAUCAGGUAUUAUUAUGAAGAACAUUUUUCUUUAAGAAUGAAUAAAAAGUCCACUUUAUGGUGGACUUUAACACGUGGGAAUGAAUUUUUUUUCAUUUCUUUUUUUUCCUGAGGGAAGGAAAAGAGAAAUAUGUUGCUGUUGUCAGCAUCUUAAAGGUAUUCCCUAUCAAGGCAAGGCUAAGUGCUUUGUAAUAGUAUUAAGCAAGUCUUGUUUUGAAUGGAUUACCUGUAAUGGGUCAUUGGAAUGAUUACAAGUAAUGCCAAAAGCCAAGUCAAAGCCUAAUAACCAAAGCAUUCCAUAUUUAAAACUUAUCAUAUCAUAUUUGGACCUAUUUGAACAUCUCAACACUCUAAAAUAGAAAACUGUUUUAUGGCAUAUGGAUAGCUGUUUAUUAAAAUUAACCUUUUAUUGCUCAGCUUUUUUGAAAGAUUUAAAUUAACUUUAUUCUUAUGGGAAGACAUUUUCACACCAUGAUUUAAGGGAACACUAGUUUUGUGGAAAAAAAAACAAAACCCUGAGUUCAUCAAAAGCCAUCUAUAGGAUUCCUUUGAGAUAAAAAUUAAUGUGUAUGUGUUGAUACCAACUUUGUAUAUUUCAUCUUAGCCAUUCUAUCUUAAAGGUUUUAAUGUGAGCUUAAAAUGUAAAUAAAGAAUUUUGUAAACCUG